rnacentral:rRNA from 1 species
CCUACGGGUGGCAGCAGUGGGGAAUAUUGGACAAUGGGCGAAAGCCUGAUCCAGCCAUGCCGCGUGUGUGAAGAAGGCCUUCGGGUUGUAAAGCACUUUCAGUGGGGAAGAAAGCCUUGGGGCUAAUACCCUCGAGGAAGGACAUCACCCACAGAAGAAGCACCGGCUAACUCCGUGCCAGCAGCCGCGGUAAUACGGAGGGUGCGAGCGUUAAUCGGAAUUACUGGGCGUAAAGGGCGCGUAGGCGGUCUGAUAAGCCGGUUGUGAAAGCCCCGGGCUCAACCUGGGAACGGCAUCCGGAACUGUCAGGCUAGAGUGCAGGAGAGGAAGGUAGAAUUCCCGGUGUAGCGGUGAAAUGCGUAGAGAUCGGGAGGAAUACCAGUGGCGAAGGCGGCCUUCUGGACUGACACUGACGCUGAGGUGCGAAAGCGUGGGUAGCAAACAGGAUUAGAUACCUUGUAGUC